GCUUACGCAAAUUCAGUUGGUAGAGCGCAAGACUCUUAAUCUCAGGGACAGGGGUUCAAGCCCCACAGUGGGCA